rnacentral:rRNA from 1 species
GAUGAACGCUGGCGGCGUGCCUAAUACAUGCAAGUCGAGCGAACGGACGAGAAGCUUGCUUUUCUGAUGUUAGCGGCGGACGGGUGAGUAACACGUGGAUAACCUACCUAUAAGACUGGGAUAACUGCGGGAAACCGGAGCUAAUACCGGAUAAUAUUUUGAACCGCAUGGUUCAAAAGUGAAAGACGGUCUUGCUGUCACUUAUAGAUGGAUCCGCGCUGCAUUAGCUAGUUGGUAAGGUAACGGCUUACCAAGGCAACGAUGCAUAGCCGACCUGCGAGGGUGAUCGGCCACACUGGAACUGAGACACGGUCCAGACUCCUACGGGAGGCAGCAUUAGGGAAUCUUCCGCAAUGGGCGAAAGCCUGACGGAGCAACGCCGCGUGAGUGAUGAAGGUCUUCGGAUCGUAAAACUCUGUUAUUAGGGAAGAACAUAUGUGUAAGUAACUGUGCACAUCUUGACGGUACCUAAUCAGAAAGCCACGGCUAACUACGUG